rnacentral:rRNA from 1 species
GACGAACGCCGGCGGCGUGCUUAACACAUGCAAGUCGAACGCUGAAGCUUGGUGCUUGCACUGGGUGGAUGAGUGGCGAACGGGUGAGUAAUACGUGAGUAACCUGCCCUUGACUCUGGGAUAAGCCUGGGAAACUGGGUCUAAUACUGGAUACGACAUGUCACCGCAUGGUGGUGUGUGGAAAGGGUUUUACUGGUUUUGGAUGGGCUCACGGCCUAUCAGCUUGUUGGUGGGGUAAUGGCUCACCAAGGCGACGACGGGUAGCCGGCCUGAGAGGGUGACCGGCCACACUGGGACUGAGACACGGCCCAGACUCCUACGGGAGGCAGCAGUGGGGAAUAUUGCACAAUGGGCGGAAGCCUGAUGCAGCGACGCCGCGUGAGGGAUGACGGCCUUCGGGUUGUAAACCUCUUUCAGCACGGAAGAAGCGAAAGUGACGGUACGUGCAGAAGAAGCGCCGGCUAACUACGUG